rnacentral:tRNA from 1 species
GCGCAGGUGGCGGAGUGGUCAAUCGCACUUGGCUGUAAACCAAGCGCCCUUACGGGCUACGCAGGUUCGAAUCCUGCCCAGCGCACCA